AUUGAACGCUGGCGGCAUGCUUUACACAUGCAAGUCGAACGGCAGCACGGGUGCUUGCACCUGGUGGCGAGUGGCGGACGGGUGAGUAAUACAUCGGAACGUGUCCAGAAGAGGGGGAUAACGCAUCGAAAGAUGUGCUAAUACCGCAUAUGCUCUGAGGAGGAAAGUAGGGGAUCGAAAGACCUUACGCUUUUGGAGCGGCCGAUGUCUGAUUAGCUAGUUGGUGGGGUAAGGGCCUACCAAGGCGACGAUCAGUAGUUGGUCUGAGAGGACGACCAGCCACACUGGGACUGUGACACGGCCCAGACUCCUACGGGAGGCAGCAGUGGGGAAUUUUGCACAAUGGGCGAAAGCCUGAUGCAGCAAUGCCGCGUGUGUGAAGAAGGCCUGCGGGUUGUAAAGCACUUUCAGUAGGGAGGAAACAGUAGCCGGUUAAUAUCCGGUUGCCUUGACGUUACCUACAGAAGAAGCACCGGCU
rnacentral:rRNA from 1 species